rnacentral:lncRNA from 1 species
UACUUUCGCGAAGCGCAUUAGGAUGUGGGCUCUGGCUUGAGCUCCAAAAUAGCUUGCUUGUCAAUUGCGAGCUGCAGCAAUAUCAAAGUGAACUGUCCCAAGUAACUCUUGUCUAGAAGCUGGGAAGAAGCUUAAGCAGCUCGCUUUAAUGAUGAUUUGUAGCUCGGCGAGGGGCACGGACAGCAAACACCCCGCAGGUGUGUGCCGUAACACCAUCAUCCGGACUUGAAUGUAGAUUACUCUGGCGAUCGUUUGAUCGGCCCUUUGAAACCCUUUACAAUUGCCUGUGACGAACGGCCAGUCUCAGUUUUUCUCUGAAUAAUCCCUGAGGAUCCAACUUAGAAAUAAUGUUUCAUUCAAGAUAAGGCUCGUGGCUUAGGAGAUUGUGACCUGGCUUGCAUCAUUCUAAGACUUCUAUCGUCUGUUUUCAAAACCCAAGGAGGACCUCCUUUUCUGUGUGAUAGUUCCUCAUGCUUUGCCAGCCACUGGGUCUUUAAGGAAGCUUGCCAAGAGUUCCCGGCUGGGAAGGACAGUUCGAGUUCAUCAUAGACAAUGAGCUGGCACCACAGUUUAAGUGACUCACCAACCUGGUUGCCCACUUCAAAAUGUCAAGAACCACACUAUCUAAUUGAAAGAACUGUGUUUUAGCAAAGUGUAAUUGGAUCGCCUGGCAAGAUCAUCUCAAACUAUGUCUCUGACCUUGCCUUUCAGUGGCUAUUUUGAGCACAAGAGGAGAAAGGAAAUGAUUCCUGAAUUAUAUCUUGUUUUUAAAAAUUAAGAUUAAUUAAUACUUGGUUUUAUGUUCAUUCCAUUGUAGGAACUUAGUGAUUAUUACAAAACAGUCAAAAUAGGUCAUAGCAAAAUGAACGUUUAAGAUUAGGUUAAAACAUUCCUCUGAAAUUUUAGUAUUCACUUUUGAAGUGUCAAUUACUAUAUUUCUGUAAUUUCUCAUUUUUUUCUUGGCUUAGAGUCAAGAUGAAAAAUGAUAUUUGAAUCAAAGACAUUGUUUUGUUAUAUAGCCACUCCUUUCUAAAAUGCAAAUCCACCCUCCCCUCACCAAUGCUUUAUUCUUUGUGCGCGCACACACACACACACACACACACACACACACACACACACACAGACAUACACAGAACCAGCACCCAAAUGGUAGAGGAGGUCCUUCCAAGACUUCUAGGACCUGGAUCAUGUAAGCAGUAGAUGAGAAAAUGAAGUAAGAGAUAUAGAGUAAUAACAAUAAAAGUCAAUGAUUUCAUUUUACAAAAAAGUCAUUGUGUAGUACUCAGAUAUUUUUAAGAGCAAGUAUUAUUAUGACUAAAGUAUAUUAUACUUCUAAAUUAUUAUGAUUCUCAUCUAAUUUCAAGCCACACAUAGGCGCCAUUUGAAAGCAUUUUGUGUUACAACCUAUCAACAAAAAUCAACUAAUAGUUUUAUAACGUGCAUA